rnacentral:rRNA from 1 species
AACGUAGGAGCCAAGCGUUAUCCGAAUUCACUGGGCGUAAAGCGCGAGCAGGCGGUUCGUUAAGUUGGAUGUGAAAUCUCCUGGCUCAACUGGGAGAGGACGUACAAGACUGGCGGACUGGAGGGCAGUAGAGGGAGGUGGAAUUCCCGGUGUAGUGGUGAAAUGCGUAGAUAUCGGGAGGAACACCAGUGGCGAAAGCGGCCUCCUGGACUGCACCUGACGCUGAGAUGCGAAAGCUAGGGGAG